AGUGAACGCUGGCGGUAGGCCUAACACAUGCAAGUCGAACGGCAGCACAGUAAGAGCUUGCUCUUACGGGUGGCGAGUGGCGGACGGGUGAGGAAUACAUCGGAAUCUACUUUUUCGUGGGGGAUAACGUAGGGAAACUUACGCUAAUACCGCAUACGACCUACGGGUGAAAGCAGGGGAUCUUCGGACCUUGCGCGAUUGAAUGAGCCGAUGUCGGAUUAGCUAGUUGGCGGGGUAAAGGCCCACCAAGGCGGCGAUCCGUAGCUGGUCUGAGAGGCUGAUCGGCGACACUGGAACUGAGACACGGACCAGACUCCUACGGGAGGCAGCAGUGGGGAAUAUUGGACAAUAGGCGCAAGCCUGAUCCAGCCAUACCGCGUGGGUGAAGAAGGCCUUCGGGUUGUAAAGCCCUUUUGUUGGGAAAGAAAAGCAGCAGGUUAAGACCCCGCUGUUCUGACGGUACCCAAAGAAUAAGCACCGGCUAACUUCGUG
rnacentral:rRNA from 1 species